rnacentral:rRNA from 1 species
UACGUAGGGUGCAAGCGUUGUCCGGAAUUAUUGGGCGUAAAGAGCUCGUAGGCGGUCUGUUGCGUCGGCUGUGAAAACCCGGGGCUCAACUCCGGGCCUGCAGCCGAUACGGGCAGACUAGAGUUCGGCAGGGGAGACUGGAAUUCCUGGUGUAGCGGUGAAAUGCGCAGAUAUCAGGAGGAACACCGGUGGCGAAGGCGGGUCUCUGGGCUGACACUGACGCUCAUGCACGAAAGCGUGGGGAGCAAACAGG